GUAAGAUAGUCUAGCUAGAUACAUUUUCAGAUAUUACACGUUUCUAAUUUUGACAGAAAGUGGUUUCAUUUCAGGUGUACUGUUAGCUAGCUAAUGACGUUAUGUGUAUGAUCUUAUUCUUCGUAAAUCAGACACAUUUGCUUGACUAGUUAUAGCCAUAGAACCUGGUUGGUUAGCAACCUGCAGAUUCACGCAGAGUAGUAACAUCAUGAGUUGUGAUUACGGUCCAUUGAUUAGCUAGCUAGCUACAUGUCUUAACAAAAGACUCCACUAUGCAAGUAUCCAUUUCAAUAGAAUGUCACUGCAACUGUUGAUAGAUGUUCUAGCUGGUAAACUCGCACUGGCUAUCUACUCCGAUUUCAGACCACGGUCAUUGGCAGCAGAGAACCGGAAGGAGAGGCGGCCGAAGGAGGAAUUGGCUUUGGGGGUGACCAGUGAGAUAUACCUGCUGGAGCGCGUGCUACAGAUAAGGACUGUCACAAUCCCGCCGGUACUGCUGCUCAUUCCGUUCACCAGCAUCAGAGGUCUACGUCGCCGGCCUUCUUGGCGUCACUGAACUGGAUUCAUUACAACCAACCCCGGACUGUCUUGCCUCAUUACACACACCUGGUUCCCAUUCCCCCUGAUUA
rnacentral:lncRNA from 1 species